ACAAUCGCCUGCUGGGGGUGAUCGCUCAGAGCCUCAGUGACCUGCUGAAAGCUCUGAAGGGGCUGGUGGUGAUGUCCUCUGAGCUGGAACUCAUGGCCAACAGCCUUUUCAACAACACUGUGCCACAGAUGUGGAAUGCCAAGGCUUACCCCUCCCUGAAGCCCCUGGCCUCCUGGGUGUCAGACCUGCUGCAGAGGAUCAGCUUCUUGGAAAAAUGGAUCUCCGAGGGCAUCCCUCCCGUCUUCUGGAUCAGCGGAUUCUUCUUCCCGCAGGCCUUCCUGACCGGGACGCUGCAGAACUUCGCCCGCAAGUCCGUCAUCUCCAUUGACACCAUUUCCUUCGACUUCAAGGUGAUGAAGGAGACCCCCAGCGAGCUGGAGCAGCGCCCCGAGAUCGGCUGCUACAUCCACGGGCUGUUCCUGGAGGGGGCGCGCUGGGACCCCGCGGCCCACCAGCUGGCGGAGUCCCGGCCCAAGGAGCUGUACACCGAGAUGGCGGUGAUCUGGCUCAUACCGGAGCCGCACAGGAGGGCGCCCAGCACGGGGGUGUACCUCAGCCCCAUCUACAAGACCCUCACCCGCGCAGCUAUCUCACGGCUUCUCAAGGCAGAGACAGCCUCUCUCUCUCUCUCUCCCAAUCAGAACUGUGGGGAGACCAGAUAAAAGAGGCCCGCUGUUUGCAGCAUUCAUGCACAGCCUGUCAAGGGCACCUUCUGAAGCAGCUAUUUGUUCAGCAUUCCUACGCAAGGUGUCUGUGUGUGUCUGUGAAAAAUGCAGCCAGACUUCCAUUUGUGUGGAGUCGCAGCCCACAGGCUCGGUCCCAGCCCAGCAGAAAGCCCCCGUCGCCUCUGGACGAACCGGCAGGGACCAAGCCUGGCGUGCUCACCACGCUACGCCACAGCGGGAGGUGUUAAGAGUGUGGUCACGCUUGCUGCUAGCCUGUUUUCAUGGCAACUCCAGCUGGCCAGCAGGGACUCUGUCCACCACUGGUCAUUCCACCAACUAUGUCAUCGCAGUGGAGCUGCCCACCGACAAACUGCAAAGACACUGGAU